rnacentral:rRNA from 1 species
UAAGGGAUAUUGGGCAAUGGGCGAAAGCCUGACCCAGCAACGCCGCGUGGAGGAUGACGGCCUUCGGUUGUAAACUCCUUUGUUCGGGACGGAGACAAGGACGGUACCCGGCGAAGAAGUCACGGCUAACUACGUGCCAGCAGCCGCGGUAAAACGUAGGUGGCGAGCGUUAUCCGGAUUUACUGGGCGUAAAGCGUGUGCAGGCGGACGAGCAAGUGGUGUAUGAAAGCUCCAGGCUUAACCUGGAGAGGUUAGGCCAGACUGCUCGACUAGAGGCAGAGAGAGGGACAUGGAAUUCCGGGUGUAGUGGUGAAAUGCGUAGAGAUCCGGAGGAACUCCAGAGGCGAAGGCGGUGUCCCUGGCUCUGACCUGACGCUCAGACACGAAAGCAUGGGGAGCGAACGGGAUUAGAAACCCCGGUAGUCCAUGCCGUAAACGAUGCAGACUAGGCGUCGGCGGUCUCAACCCCGUCGGUGCCGCAGCUAACGCGAUAAGUCUGCCGCCG